rnacentral:rRNA from 1 species
GGCCAGACUCCUACGGGAGGCAGCAGUGGGGGAUAUUGCACAAUGGGGGAAACCCUGAUGCAGCGACGCCGCGUGGGUGAAGAAGCGCCUCGGCGCGUAAAGCCCUGUCAGCAGGGAAGAAAAUGACGGUACCUGAAGAAGAAGCCCCGGCUAACUACGUGCCAGCAGCCGCGGUAAUACGUAGGGGGCAAGCGUUAUCCGGAUUUACUGGGUGUAAAGGGAGCGUAGACGGCGAUGCAAGCCAGAUGUGAAAGCCCGGGGCUCAACCCCGGGACUGCAUUUGGAACUGUGUGGCUGGAGUGUCGGAGAGGCAGGCGGAAUUCCUAGUGUAGCGGUGAAAUGCAUAGAUAUUAGGAGGAACACCAGUGGCGAAGGCGGCUUGCUGGACUGAAACUGACGCUGAGGCUCGAACGCGUGGGGAGCAAACAGGAUUAGAUACCCUCGUAA